GAUGAAGAACGUAGCGAAAUGCGAUAAGUAAUGUGAAUUGCAGAAUUCAGUGAAUCAUCGAAUCUUUGAACGCACAUUGCGCCCGCCAGUAUUCUGGCGGGCAUGCCUGUCCGAGCGUCAUUUCAACCCUCGAACCCCUCCGGGGGGUCGGCGUUGGGGAUCGGCCCUGCCUCUUGGCGGUGGCCGUCUCCGAAAUACAGUGGCGGUCUCGCCGCAGCCUCUCCUGCGCAGUAGUUUGCACACUCGCAUCGGGAGCGCGGCGCGUCCACAGCCGUUAAACACCCAACUUCUGAAAUGUUGACCUCGGAUCAGGUAGGAAUACCCGCUGAACUUAAGCAUAUCAAUAGCGGAGGA
rnacentral:misc_RNA from 1 species